ACGCCUGCCCAGUGAACAAUUAAACGGCCGCGGUACCCUAACCGUGCAAAGGUAGCAUAAUCAUUUGUCUACUAAUUAUAGACCUGUAUGAAAGGCAAAAUGAGGGUUUAACUGUCUCUUAUAGUAAAUCAAUUAAACUGAUCUCCUAGUAAAAAAGCUAGGAUUUAAACAUAAGACCAGAAGACCCUGUGAAGCUUAAACUAAACUAUUAAAACCAAUAAUAGCUACUUUCGGUUGGGGCGACCUUGGAAAAAAAAAGAACUUCCAAAUAUAAUGAUGUAUCAACAUAACUAGGCCCACAAGCCAAUUUAAGACCCAGUAAAACUGAGAAUUGAAACAAGUUACUCCAGGGAUAACAGCGCAAUCUUCUUCAAGAGCCCAUAUCAAAAAGAAGGUUUACGACCUCGAUGUUGGAUCAGGACAUCCUAAUGGUGCAGCAGCUAUUAAGGGUUCGUUUGUUCAACGAUUAACAGUCCUACGUGAUCUGAG
rnacentral:rRNA from 1 species